CUGGGAAGGCUAUGAUUAAGAAUUCCUGUUCAUUUCCCUGACAGUUAUGAGGAUUUGGAUAAACAAAUGUUGAUUUAUAUUUGAAAACAAAUUAAUACAAAUGUUUUUGGUCAGUCAUGGAAAGACUACCAAUAUCACAGGUUCUUGGGUAUAGAUUUUCUUUUUUCCAUUUUGUAUCUCCUUGCAUAGGUUUUAAGACUUCUCUAUAUGAACAUGCAGGUGUGUGCACGUGCACACAAAACUGUCAUUAUCUAAAGCAUCCUAUUGUUAUGUAGCAGGAGAAAAAUCCUCUUGUAAACUAAAUUGUUGUUAACUCCAUAGGUACAUAUUACAAUCACAGAACAUACAGUGUUGAUUUAGCAAGGAAUUAACAGUUAAGUAAGGUCAGAUACUUCAUUUCUGAGGAAGAAACUCAUGCCAAGAGAGGUUAAGCAAUAACUUAGACUUCUGGCACAGUUUUAAGAUUGUAUUCACUAUAGCUGGGUUUUUUUUUUUUUUUUUUUACUACAGAGCAAGACAUUGGUGCAUGCUUUGAAUUACAACUUGAAAUACCAGAUUUUAAAAAAUCUUUUCUGCAUUUUCAAAGCUUAUAGCAUAGUGACCCUUUGUAGUGAAACAGGUUCCUCUCAGAUUGAAACGUAUCCUACAGGGAAGCAUGUCCUUUAAGACAGAAAGUAAACAACUUAAGACAGUUUCAGGAAUUCCCAGAAACUGAUUAGAUUCACUAGAUUUCUUUCUCAUAAGAGAAACAGUAUAGACUAUUGAAAGAAACCCUAAGACAAGACAAGACACUAAGGAGACUGACCCAACAGACUGAAAAAAAGCAAGAGAUCAGCAGAGCUGCCUGAAAGAAACAGAGUCCAGCAGAGCCAUCUGGAAGAGAUUUAGGGCAGCUGAACCACUUGGAAAGGACAUUUCCAAUCUGUUGUGCUACCUGCAGGCUUUAAUUUAUGUCCCAAAUCCCAUUUUUGUGAAAAUUUCACCUAUGCUAGGGAGGGCUUUGGUGAUGCAGCUAGCUGUCUUUGAGACAAUUCUCCUGUUCAUAACCUCUCACCUAUAUUCCUAUAAGUAAACCCAAUAAAACUCAUUCGUUCACUGAGUUGGACUUUGAAAGGAUCUGUAUUUUGGUUUGUUGUGAGUUCCUUAUGUGGGCGUUGUAGGUGUGUGUGUGUGUGUGUGUGUGUGUGUGUGUGUGUGUGUGUGUAUGUAUGUUGUGUUGCAUCUCCCCAGGAAAAGUUUUGUCACAGGACACCUUGAAAUGAAUGAACUGCAAAUAACUGUUGGCAAGGAUGGUCCCUUUCCAGUCAUUAUGAAGGAGAUACAAGGUUAUUGAUGCUAUUUAUACAGGAGACAGUUGCAUCCAGCAUACCUAUCCUUGUUUUAGGCACAGUGGCACUGAGCCUACCCUUUCUUCUUAAAACAAAGCUGCUUUCCUCAUGGUGGCAAGGUAGUUAUGGAACAUUCCUAAGUAAGGCAUCAAGCAGAGGUUAGUGCUGAGUUUCUCAAGAACAUGUACAUUUUAAAAAAUCAUAUUUUCAAUCCUAAAAUGAGCUGUCAGCAAUCAGGGAGAUAAGGUUCAGAGACAAGUCACAAAUCAAAAUAAGGUGUUUAAGAAAUGCUACUAAGACUUAAAAGAAACAAGUCAUAACUCUUCAAUAAAGGACAUUAUUGAUGCUUUUACUCAUUUCCUAGCCACAUUUUCCAGUGUAACUUAGUUUAACUAAAAUUUCCUUGACUAGAAGUUUGGAAAUGUCUCUUCCUUUAAUAAUAUUCACAUGAAUUAAUAAUGUUUAUGAAUAAUGAGGCAUUGCUGGCCAAAGGGUAUGAAGCUCCCUCUAGACAAAAGCAGUAAGUUUUUAGAUUUAUUGAACAGCAUAAUUUAUAAAAAUAAGGUACAAAAAUGUCAGUGAAUUUUAGAUAUUUAUACCCCCUUAAAAGGAAGGGGUGUGAAGAAAAGGAUAUAUUAAUUAGCUUGAGUUGAUCAUUCAUAAAGAACAUAUAUAUCAAGACAUCAAAACAUCACAUUGUGUAUCACAACUAUGUGUAACAUUAUUUCUCCAUUAAAAUUAGAAAAUAUUUCAGUGCAACAAAACAGUAGGAAAUUACAAUUGUAAUUCUUAUUUUACUUACAGUAGUGAAAACUGAACAGUUUAGAUCACUUGUCUAGUGUUGAACUACUUAUAAAUGGUUGGCCCCAAGUUCCCUCUCAAUCUGUCUCAAUGUGCACUUCCUGUUAUAUAAUCAUGGGUUGCUAGAAUCCGUGGUGGGACAUCCUCCUCUCUUCCCCUUGUUAAAGAACAUAUAGGUCCUCCUGAGGGCUAAGCACCUUCGACACUUUCAUGUAGAGUCACCUUUCAAGGUCAUUUUUUCUUCCUGCUGUCCCUAGAGCUGCUCACUUUUCUUCGUUGUAGUGGUGGUCAUCCAUUUUCCUGCACAUGAAUCAUCUAUUGCUUGAGGUCUGGCAUCCUCUCUUUUCUUCGUUUUGUCAUUUGUCAUAAAAACAAUCAUAUCCCCUCACAAUUUCAAUGAAGGGCUCAAAAGCAAAUUUAAGUUGUCAUAUAAUGAUAUUAAUACUGUUUUAUAAAACAUCCUUGCUGCUUAUGUUACUAUUCAUAAGUAAUUUUGCCUGCAUUAUUGGACAUUUGUAUAGCAGUGAGUGAAUUUUAGUUUGACUCAUCAUUGUGUUUUCUUAACCUCAGCUAUUGCUGUAGGCUUACAGCUAUCCUGACUGCUCUACCUAUAGUUUAUGAGAGUCAAAACUAAAAUCAUAUGAAUUAAAAUUUUUAUUUUCAGAAAUAAACUAAAAAGGAGUGACCUGAUAUGAAUUUUAGAAAAAAAGUGCUCUCUAUUUUUAAAACAUUAAAAUCACAUUUAUUGAUGUGUGUGUGUGUGUGUGUACCAGAGAACAAUUCUUAGAAAUUGGAUUCUCCUGCUACCAUGUGUGUCCUGGUGGACUGAACUCAUGCCACAAGGCUUGAUGGUAAGUGCCUUUACUAGCUGAGUCAUCUCUCAGACUCAGAAAAUUUCUAAGUGUUAGCCAAUAGAGAUAAUGCCAUGCCAACUAAUUAUUGAUUAUUUAAUUUUCUACAUGUUUUCCAUAUAAAAUUUUAUGCCAAUCCCAUUGACCAGUGAAGAAAUGGCAGCACAGAAAGUGUUCUGGAAUUCCCGUCACAGACCUGGGGUCAUACCCAUAUGAACAAACGUAGACGUAUUAAUCUGCUUCUCAAAAAUGCAGCCCAGGAACACAAAUCAUGAGCAUUAUGUGGAGAUAAAAGUUAGUUUAUAAUUAUGUUUUUAUUCUGUAAUAUCUUUGACUCUUAAAAUGUUUUUGUACUUCUAGUUAUUUAAUGUUAUUGAAAAAUGGAAUUCAUUUCACUCUGAAAAGCCUAUAAUUUAUUCUUUAAUUGUUAUUCAUGUAAUAUUCUUAGUCAACAUAAAGCUAGUUAGUUAGCUAAUUACUUUCAGGUCAUUAUCUUAAGUUAGUCUCUUCAUGUUUUUAUACCUUUAAAUAUUAUAGUCUGGAUUAUUUGAUAAACACAAAUGAAGUAAUGAAUAGGCUAUUUUAUGCUAAAGUAGUUCUUGCUACAGCUUUGGUGUUAUUGUUCUUCAGUGAACUUUUCUGAGUGAGACAUGAUGGACUGUAGAAAGUAAUACUGAAGAAAUUCCACUAAAAUCAAGGACAAGAUAAGGAUGCCACUCUCCCUGUAUCUAUUCAAUAUAGUACUUGCAGUUCUAGCUAGAGCAAUAAGACGACAAAAGGAGAUCAAGGGGAUACAAAUUGGCAAAGAAGAAGUCAAGAUAUGAUAUGUAGAUGAUAUGAUAGUAUACAUAGUAACCCCCAAAAUUCUACCAGAGAACUUUUACAGCUGGGAAACAACUUUAGCCAAGUGGCUGGAUAUAAAAUUAAUUCAAACAAAUCAGUUGCCUUCAUUUAUACAAAUGAUAAACAGGGUGAGAAAGAAAUUAUGGAAAUAACACCCUUCACAAUAGUAAAAAACAAUAUAAAAUAUCUUGGGGUAACUCUAAUCAAACAAGUGAAAGAUCUGUAUGACAAUAACUUCAAAUCUCUCAAGAAAGAAAUCAAAGACGAUCUCAGAAGAUGGAGAGAUCUUCCAUGCUCAUGGAUUGGUAGAAUUAGCAUAGUAAAAAUUACUAUCCUAUCAAAAGCAAUCUGCAGAUUCAAUGCCAACCCCAUCAAAAUUUCAACACAAGUCUUCAAAGACAUGGAAAGAACAAUUCUGAAUUUCAUAAGGAAAAACAAAAAACUCAGGGUAGCUAAAAUAAUUCUUAACCAUAAAAGAACUUCUUGGGGAAAUCACUAUUCCUGACUUCAAGCUAUACUACAGAGCAAUAGUAAUAAAAACUGCAUGGUAUUGGUACAGGGACAGACAGCUUGAUCAAUGGAAUAGAACUGAAGAACCAGAAAUAAAAACCAUACACUUAUGGACACUUGAUCUUUUUCAAGGAAGCCAAAAAAAUACAAUGGAAAAAAGAAAUAAUUUCCAAUAAAUGGUGCUGGUCUAAUUGGCAGUUGGCAUGUAGAAACAUGAAAAUAGACCCAUAUUUGUCACCUUGUACAAAGCUCAAGUCCAAGUGGAUCAAGGACCUCAACAUAAAACCAGAUAUACUGAAUCGAAUAGAAGAGGAAGUAGGAAAAAGCCUCAAACUCAUUGGCCCUUGGGGGGGGGGUCCUAAACAGAACUCCAAUGGAUCAGGAUCUAAGAUCAAGAAUUGAUAAAUGAUUCCUCAUGAAACUGGAAAGCUUCUGUAAGGCAAAGGACAUAGUCAAUAGGGCAAAUCAUCAAGCUUCUGAUUGGAAAAAGCAAACAAACAAAAAAACCAAAACUUCACUAACCCCACAUUUGAUAGAGGGCUAAUGUCAGAAAUAUAUAAAGAACUCAAGAAGCUAACCACCAAAAAAACCCAAACAACUCAAUCAAAAAUGAGGUAUAGAACUAAACUGAGAAUUCACAACAGAGCAACUCAAAUGGCUGAGAAGCACUGAAAGAAAUGUUCAAAGUCAUUAGUGAUCAGAGAAAUGCAAAUCAAAAUGACCCUGAGAUUCCACUUUAUACCAAUCAGGAUGACUAAGAUCAAAAACUCAGGUGACAGCAGAUGCUGGUAAGGAUGUGGAGAAAGAGGAACACUCCUCUAUUGCUGGUAGAGUGCAAGCUUGUACAACCACUCUGGAAAUCAAUCUGGAGGUUCUUCAGAAAAUUGGAAAUAGAUUUCUCUGAAGACCCAGCUGUACUACUCUUAGGCAUAUACCCAGAAGAUGCCCUAUCAUGCCACAAGGGCACGUGUUUCAGUAUGUUUAUAGUGGCCUUAUUUUGCGAUAACCAGAUGUCCCUCAGGGAUGAAUGGAUUCAGAAAAUGUGGUUCAUUUACACAGUGAAAUACUAUUCAGCUAUUAAGGAUGAAGAUAUCAUGAGGUUUGCAGGCAAGUGGAUGGAACUAGAAAAUAUUAUCUUGAGUGAGGUAACUCAGACCCCAAAAAUCCAUGAUUUAUAUGUACUCACUAAUAAGUGGACAUUAGUCAAAAAAGUAUAAAAUACCCAGGAUACAAUCCACAGAACUCAAGAAGGUUUAUAAGCCGAAGGUCCCCAGUGAGGAUAUCUUAAUCCCACUUGGGAAGGAGAAGAAAUCAAUCACAAUGGGCAGAGGGAUGCAGGGACCUUGGUGGGAGAGCAGACAGGGAAGGGGAAAGGGGGACAUGAUUAGGUAUUGGUGGUUAGAGGGGAACAGGAGUGAAGCCCUGAGGGCCAACAGAAAGAAUGGAAACAGGUAACCUCAGGAGGUAAGAGGUGGGGGGACCCUCUAGAAUGUACCAGAGACCUGUGAGGUGAAAGAUGCUCAGGACUCAGAGGGAGGGACCUUGGAUGAAAUGCCCAACAGUGGGGAGAAAGAACUUGUAUAGUCCAUUCCCAGUAGAAAGAGAGAGCAUCAAUCAAGUAGAGGGAUGGGGUCACCAUCCCACAAUCAAAAACUCUGACACAGAAUUGUCCCUGGCUAAAAAGAACUGUAGGGACAAAAAUGGAGAAGAGCCUGAGGGGAAAGAGGUCCAGGGACCUGCUCAAACUGGGAUCCAGCUCAAGGGGAGGCUCUAAAGUCUGAUACUAUUAGUGAUGCUAUGGUGUGCUUCCAGACAGGAGCCUAGCAUGGCUGCCCUCCAAGAGGACCAACAAGCAGCUUAAAGAGUCAGAUUGAGAUACUUACACCCAAUCAAUGGACAGAAGCCGGGAACCCCUGUAGUUGAUCUAAGAAAAGGCUGGAAGAAGCUGAGGAGGAGGACAUCCCCAUAGGAAGACCAGCAGUCUCAACUAACCUGGACCCUGGAGAUCUCUCAGAUACAGAGCCACCAACCAGGCAGCAUACACUAGCUGGUAUGAGGUUCCUGACACAUAUAUAACAGAGGACUGCCUGGUUGGCCUCAGUGAAAGAAGAUGCACCUAACACUUGAGAGACUUGAGGCCCUAGGGAGUGGGGAGGUCUGGUGGGGUUUUGGGGACAUCCUCUUAGAGAUGGAAGAGGAGGAAUGGGAUGAACUGUCAGAGGGUGGACUGGCAGGGGGAUAGCAGCUUGUGAGGUGUAGACAUGACCUCACACAGGAGACAAUUUUGAUUCUCUCUAUAUAGAAACAUACAAAAAACAUUCUGAGAAAUAGCUCUCCUUCUAGUUAAUUUGGUGUAUGACAACCUCCUACUGUGAAGUGAUGUUUUCAGUCACUCUUGACAAUUCCUUACAACAUCAUGAACAAUUUGUUAAGCAGCUUUGGGAUAUCUUAAGUACUGUGUUAAUUGAUUUUUUUUUCUCGAUAUAAUGUUCUGACAUGACAUUUAACUUAAUAAAGAGUUUAUUUGACUCCAUUCAACUUCAUCAGGAUGUGGAAGUUAUGUAAGUAGAAAAUAGAGGUGGCUGGUCACAUUGCACUGCACUCAGGAAGAAGAAAGCUAUGAAUACAGGUGCUCAGCUAAUUCUCUGCUGUGUAUGCAGCAAGAACCCAGCCCAUCGAAUGGUGAUGUCCACUUUUAGUACAUUAGCAUGUCUAUUUGUAUCAUCACUGUUCAUGUCUUGUGUAUGCAACCAUUUCUAGGAGACACAAUCUCACAGCAGACUUUCUGGCCCUCUGGCUCCUACAAUCUUUCUUUUCCCCUCGCCCAUGAUAUUCUCUAAGCUGUAGGUAUAGGAAUUACACUGGCAAUGUAUCCACUGGGUAUGAGGUUUCCAAAAUUAGUUGACAUCUUCAUUAUGAUGAACUGUAGUUUACUGUAAUAGUCUCCAUUUUCUACAAAGGCAGGCUUCUUUGAUGUGACUGAAAACUAUACUUAUCUAUGGGUAUAAGGAUAUGUUUUAGAUUGCAAUUAGGAAUUAUGCAGUCUAGUAAAGUGGUAGUAGUAGGUGUUCUUUUAAGGUCCAUGACCUCACUAGCCCUGGCUUUGUAGGAAUGCCAACUGUUAGAGUCACUUUAGAAAUCAAGAUAUAAGAUACAACUUGCCAAACGCAUGAAAUUCAAGAAGAACGAAGACGAAAGUGUGGACACUUUACCCUUUCUUAGAAAUGGGAACAAAACACCCAUGGAAGGAGUUACAGAGACAAAAUUUGGAGCUAUGACAAAAGGAUGGACCAUCUAGUGAUUGCCAUAUGCAGGGAUCCAUCCCAUAAUCAGCUUCCAAAUGCUGACACCAUUGCAUACACUAGCAAGAUUUUGCUGAAAGGACCCAGACAUAGCUCUCUCUUGUGAGACUAUGCCGGGGCCUAGCAAACACAGAAGUGGAUGAUCACAGUCAGCUAUUGGGUGGGUCACACGGCCCCCAAUGGAGGAGUUAGAGAAAUUACCCAAGGAGCUAAAGGGAACUUCAACCCUAUACGUGGAACAACAAUAUGAACUAACCAGUACCCCAGAGCUCUUGUCUGUGGGAGCCGCCCUCACAUUUGCCAUUAUAAGAUGGCGCUGACAGCUGUGUUCUAAGUGGUAAACAUAAUCUGCACACGUGCAGGGGCAGUUUUACCGCCAUGUGUUCUGCCUUUCUCGUGAUGACAACUGGGCCGAUGGGCUGCAGCCAAUCAGGGAGUAAUACGUCCUAGGCGGAGGAUAAUUCUCCUUAAAAGGGACGGGGUUUUGCCAUUCUUUUUCUCUCUCUUGUUUUCUCAUUCUUGCUCUCUUGCUUUUCUUGUUCUUGUUCUUUUUCUUGCUCUUGCUUUUGCUCUUGCACUCUUGCGCUCUUGCGCUCUGGCUCCUAAAGAUGUAAGCAAUAAAGCUUUUGCCGCAGAAGAUUCCGGUUUGUUGCAUUUUUCCUGGCGUGUAAGAACGCGUGUAAGAGUUGGUGCCGAAACCCGGGAACCUUAACUUAUCCCAAAACCGGGAACCUUUCGUUACCUUGUGCCUGCUUCCUGGCAACUUUAUGCUUGCCUCUAUUUUAUCUGAGGUCCUUCCCAAACUCCUGGGUUACUUUGUGCCU
rnacentral:lncRNA from 1 species